rfam:Clostridium cadaveris strain NLAE-zl-G419 genome assembly, contig: Ga0070261_110
CUCUUAUCCAGAGAGGUGGAGGGAAAUGGCCCGAUGAAACCCGGCAACCUGUGCUUUCGUGCACAAAGGUGCCAAUUCCAGCAGCUAUGCUGCAAGAUAAGAG